UGAUCCAGGAAGUUAUAGAUCCAUAGCUUUAACUUCUCAUGUAUGUGAAGUGAUGGAGAGAAUGAUAAAUGAAUAAAUGACAAAAGAAGAUUUCAAAGCAGAUUUAGAAAAGGUAGAAAUACCAUGAACCCUGCUCUGUUUGGAGCAGGAAAUCAGAAAAUCACCAUCAGGAAACAUUUUCAGCAGAACUUCUCUCCUUUCUCAUCAAGACUUUAUCAACCUGCCUCUGAUAUCACUGCAGGCGCUCUGCUGACUGUUUUAGACUGAAAGAAAAACUACAAACCAGGUGAGGCACCCAGUCUGGUUCUACGGUGGUUCUGUUUGGUCUCAGUCUGUUGUUCAGAUCUUGUUCUUCAGCACUUUGGACCGUCUGAACAAACUGUGAAGGUAGAAAGUGUGUGUGAGCUGAUGUGGAUGUGAAUUCAG